rnacentral:rRNA from 1 species
AUGUUGGGUAGUCCGCACGAGCGCACCCUAUCCUUAUUUGCCAGCGCGUUAUGGCGGGAACUCUAAGGAGACUGCCGGUGAUAAACCGGAGGAAGGUGGGGACGACGUCAAGUCAUCAUGGCCCUUACGGGAUGGGCUACACACGUGCUACAAUGGCAAGUACAGAGGGCAGCAAUAUCGCGAGAUGGAGCGAAUCCCACAAAGCUUGUCGUAGUCCGGAUUGGAGUCUGCAACUCGACUCCAUGAAGUCGGAAUCGCUAGUAAUCGUGGAUCAGAAUGCCACGGUGAAUACGUUCCCGGGCCUUGUACACACCGCCCGUCACACCAUGGGAGUGGGAUGCAAAAGAAGUGGCUAGUUUAACCUUCGGGAGGACGGUCACCACUUUGUGUUUCAUGACUGGGGUGAAGUCGUAACAAGGUAGCCCUAGGGGAACCUGGGGCUGGAUCACCUCCUU